rnacentral:rRNA from 1 species
CCCUUAGAUGUCCUGGGCCGCACGCGCGCUACACUGAGUGUCUGAGAUACGAGUCUGCCUGGUCCGGCAAGGUCUAGGUAAUCGCUAAAAGACACAUCAUGCUUGGGAUAGAUUAUUGCAAAUAUUAAUCUUGAACGAGGAAUUCCUAGUAAGCGCAAGUCAACAGCUUGCGUUGAUUACGUCCCUGCCCUUUGUACACACCGCCCGUCGCUACCACUGAUUGGAUGUUUAAGCGAGGUUCUCGAACUGCUAGCGACUUAGCUUCGGUGAGGUCGCAGUGUGGGAAGUGAACCUAGCUUUGGUGUCUAGAGGAAGUAAAAGUCGUAACA